GACAAGAUCAAAGGAUACAGCAUACCAGACUUUUGCAUAAAAUUCACAUCAUUUAUCCAUUAAAAAACACAUGAAUCUUAAGGAAAAAAAAUUCACGCAAUUACUAGAAUGAAAACCCUAAUUAUUCGGGGCAUAGGGGUUCUAAUACUAGAACAGUACACAAUGAAUUACUGUAAAACGAAGGCCAAUUUGAUGCAUAUAAUAAGUAGAAAAAUGAAAUCAGAUAAAACUAAUUACUUUUACGUAAGAAAGGGAAAAUAAAGUGCCCAUGUCUUCACUUACUUGUUAAAAAAGUAACUUUUAGACCUAAUAAAAUAUACUCUUAUUCAAAAGACUAUAAAAAACUGAGGAGCUACUGGAUCUUCAGACGGGUGAACUGCCCAAGUACAAGGCUGAAUCUCUCUAGUUAUAGACACUGGACAGUACCCAACCAGAGUUGCCUUAGCUUCGGAAGAAGCGGCCGAACCGAAGGACAUGGCAUCCACAUAUCCGCUCGGUUUAGCUUCUGCCUCGCCUUUGGAACCAUCUACUGCUUUUUCAUUCUUUUUUUGGCCUUUGGAAUCAUCUUCUUUUCCUUUCUUUUCCUGUCUUUUGUUGAACCAAGAUAGAAGCCCCAUAAUUAUGAUUAACUAAUGAAAUAUGGGAGGAAUUUUAGGUUUUCUGAAUUUAUAGAAGAUUAAAAGAGAUGACGGAAUUAGGGUUUUGCUUAUGUAGCAUACAAUCAAAUCUCAAAGGGAAAGUUGAUUUAUUUGGUAAAUUACCUUAGAA
rnacentral:lncRNA from 1 species